rnacentral:lncRNA from 1 species
AAGCAUGAACUUUCAUAUUUCCAUAGCAGUUGUCACUUAUAAUAGAUAUAUUAACUAUUUAUAAAAAAACCAAAGUUAAAAUGGGAACAACUUUCAUCAUCUGUCAGAGUCAAAGAAUCAUUUUCUUUUGUAUUCUUUGUCUCUUUGUGGUCUUUAGGAGUACAGAAGGGGCUCCUUUCUCCACCCCAGCUUAAUCUAAAUCAUAUGAUAUAGGAAUUAUUGCAGAUUUAGACGCAAAAUCAAAGACAGGAUCGGACACAUGGCAUAGUUUCUUUAAACCAAGGUAUUUAACUAUUG